CCCACGUGCUCUGAUGUGGAGUGUGGGCAUCCCAGGAGUGUUGUGUGCCUGCUGCUGCAGGUGUGCAGGUGUGAUGUCCUCGGGAAAGUAUGGAUUGUUAAGUCCAGGUGAAUCUGAUGUGCAGAGACUCUCAGCAUGUGUCUGCAUCACUGUACUAGGCAGCUACACCAUGGGUGCUGAGGUCUCUGCCUUGGAGUUAUACUAUCGGAGGAAGUCCAUGGCCAUGGAGUCUGUGUCCAUGGGGCACCCAGAUUUCUGAUUUCACUGUGGUGAAUUGAUGCCAAGUGCUGGGACCCCAUAGCCUGUGGCUAAGCCAGUUCACAUCAAUGCAGGUGGAAACCCCAAAGGAACAGUCGUUUCACUGGUCCUUUGCUUUACAUCUCUUGGUGGUGUUCGUGGAUAACUGAGGGACAGAUGAAUAGAGGCCACCACAAGAAAUAUCACCAGAGUUGCUGCUUGCUGCUGGCUCAGUGCUCCCUGAAACUGCUG